rnacentral:lncRNA from 1 species
GAUAAGCAAAGAAUAUUUUGUCAUUUUCAUCAUCUUGAUUCUGUGCUAUAAAAUGCAGCUUUAAGAUGAAACGAAGGGGUCGUAUUUAAAUAACCAGCAAGCUUGAAGAAACAACGAACUAUGGCUCAGCAACUAAGUCAGGUAUAUGCUGCAAUCUGCAUGCCCUAAUAAUAUUAUUAUGAAUACUGAUUGUUUAUUCUCAGAUUGGUUUUGCUCUUAACUUUUCAGAAGGGAUGGAUAUAUGUGCAUGCAUCCGAAUUCCAAUAUGCAGAACCGAAGUGCUGGACUAUAGUCAAGUAAGUCCAGACUGAAUAUAAUUAAGCUGAAUCCCUAGAUAAGCUUGUAGUUCAAAAUUUGUUUGCAGUAGAAUCAGGGCGGAUCUAGCAUGGGAUUUCUGGGGGCACCAAGCAAAUUUUCAGAUAAUAUCUAUAUGUUUUCAAAUUUUCUGGGGGCACUUCUAUAAAUUUGUAAAAUUUAGAUUGGUGAAAAGGUAUCAAAAACUUUUUUAGGGGGGCACGUGUCCCCCGUGCUCCUUACUAGAUUCGCCCCUGAGUAGAAUACUAAUCUACUGAUGCAAUACACUUAUCUGACAUGAAUAAUAAUGAGUUUGCUUGUAGUUACGACGGAUCAGCAGAACUAGUGCACUCAUGGAAGCUAGAGGUAAAGGGAAAUUGUAAAGCAAGCCUGCUUCCAAAAGAUAAAACUUAUGCUGCAUAUUUUAUGGUUAUGCUGAGGAAGGACAGCGUAUUUACAACUCCAAGUUAUCUCCAAAUAACUCUCCCAUCUGAGUAACCGCAAGUGAAGUGUAUAGAACUGAAAGACUCCCCUAAAGAAAAAACCAUUAGGCUUCAACUUGGAGAAGAAUUUAACACCAGCUCUUUAAAGGAUGGAGAUAUCGAGUUUUCGCUCUAUGGGAAUGACCGGGCCGGUAAGAAAGGUUUGGUUGUCUAUGGAGUUCUUUUCGCACCUGUAGAAGACUGAUUGUUCACCAGAUAACCAGAGCAUGGUUAGUAUCAGUACUGAAUGCAUUAGCAUUUUCAGUAACAAGCAAAGCAGCUGUGAUAUAGCUUGUAUUGUAUCAUAUUUGACAAUAAAAAUCUUGUUUUAAAUUUGUAAUGAUGAUAAUUAAAAGCACAGAUAUGUCUUAAGAUAGUAUUACAA